rnacentral:rRNA from 1 species
UACGGAGGGUGCAAGCGUUAUCCGGAUUCACUGGGUUUAAAGGGUGCGUAGGCGGGUAGGUAAGUCCGUGGUGAAAUCUCUGAGCUUAACUCAGAAACUGCCGUGGAUACUAUUUGCCUUGAAUAUUGUGGAGGUGAGCGGAAUAUGUCAUGUAGCGGUGAAAUGCUUAGAUAUGACAUAGAACACCAAUUGCGAAGGCCGCUCACUACACAAUGAUUGACGCUGAGGCACGAAAGCGUGGGGAUCAAACAGG